AGACCUAAAGGAGGACCCGCAGUGUAAACUGACAAAUCUCAGGCCUUGGAGACACUGAGUCUGUGAGGCCAUUUGCUUCACAGAGGAAAUGGGCACGAUCUCCAGCUGAGCUCCAAGGGAUCUGAACUCACAGGCUUCACACCUACCCCAGGUCAAUCAGAAAUGCUUACAUUCUAAAUUAUGUCUAAAUGAAAGCACAAUUACAACUAGAUAUAAUAUGUAUUGACUAUGGUAUAUCAUUAUGAACUCUAAAUCUUAAUUUCUGGUUCCUUCACUUGGCACACCUAUUUUUGGGCAGUUUCUCCCAUUCUUCUUUGCAGGACCUCUUAAGCUCCAUCAGGUUGGAUGGGGAGCGUCGGUGCUCAUGUGAUUUUUUUUUUUUUUCAUUUUUAAAAGAUUUGCAAAAAUUUCAAAAAACCUUUUUCUUUUCAUUGUGUGUAGAAUUUUUAGGAAAAAAAUGAAUUUAAUCCAUUUUGGAAUAAGGCUGUACCAUAACAAAAUGUGGAAAAAGUGAAGCGCUGUGAAUACUUUCCGUAUGCACUGUACGAGUUCUAUGAGUAUAAUUAGUAUUUUUCAUUACGAUUGACAUAUAGCAUUAGUCUCAUUAUUUAAUAGCCACUGUAGCAGCAAUUUCUAAUUGCCUACCACGGGUGGCUGAGAUGGAUUUGGUUCUGACGCGUGUAGGAAAGAUGAGAAGUAGAGGUGAGUCCAGUUGGUCCCUUUGACCGUUUAUUGUAGAAUGGUGGAUAACAAGUUGUUGGAAAUAAAAUAAAAGAUAUUAAACUAAA